GUAGGUGAACCUGCGGAGGGAUCAUUAUUGAAUGGUCUUUGACCUUCUACCCUUCAAACCUGUGGAAGCAAACAAUGUGCUUCGGCGUCCUUUUCGGACGUCGCUUUUAUGCAGUAAUCUGUGUGUUGUCUGAAUAAUACAAAAGGAUCAAAACUUUCAACAAAGGAUCUCUUGGCUCUUGCAUCGAUGAAGAACGCAGCAUCUGACUGACGUCA
rnacentral:misc_RNA from 1 species